GCUCUAUUCACUUGUGAUCAAGUUUUUGUAUACACGUAAGUUCUCAUUUGGGGGCUAAAACCUAGGAGCCGGGUUGCUGAGUCACAUGGUGUAUGCAUGUUUAACUUCGUAAGAAUCUGGCAAAGCCUUCUCCAGAGGGGUCAGACCAUUUUAGAUGCCCACCAACAAUGCACAAGGGGCGUGUUGGUUUGUGAGACGGAAUCUGCAAACAGCGGCCAGACGGAGACGACGGAGAGCCCCAACCCACACCCCCUUGGCCACAGCCUGGCCCCAGUGGUCCAGACCUGAUCGCUCCAGCCCGAUGCUUUCCCAUGUGACGUGUUCCUCCCAUAAAUCAGCCCGGAGAAUAAAGAAUGUGUACAAAC
rnacentral:lncRNA from 1 species